rnacentral:sRNA from 1 species
AAACUUUAUUAAAACUCAUACAUAUUAACACAUACCUUUUCUUCUUCCUCUUCUUUUCCUUCUUCCUCUUCCAUUUCUUCAUCUCCUUGUUUGGGAUUCUCUUGUUUUUUCUGUUUUUCAAUCAUUGUUAGUAGAAUGAUGAUCUCUGUAUUCGACCUGUAUAA